rnacentral:rRNA from 1 species
CCUACGGGUGGCAGCAGUGGGGAAUAUUGCGCAAUGGGCGAAAGCCUGACGCAGCGACGCCGCGUGAGGGAUGAAGGUCUUCCGGUCGUAAAGUUCUUUUGACAGGGAAGAAAAUUCCUAUAAGUAACUGUUUAUGUAUUGACGUUACCUGAAGGAAAAGCAUCGGCAAACCCCGUGCCCGCAGCCGCGGUAAUACGGGGGAGGCGAGGGUUAUCGGGAUGUAUUGGGUUUAAAGGGUGUGCAGGCGGCCAGUUAAGUCAGCGGUAAAAGGCCGGGGCCCAACCCAGGCGAGCCGUUGAAACUGGCGGGCUGGAGUUGGAGAGAGGUACGCGGAAUGCGCGGUGUAGCGGUGAAAUGCUUAGAUAUCGCGCAGAACCCCGAUUGCGAAGGCAGCGUACCGGCUCGACACUGACGCUGAGGCACGAAAGCGUGGGUAUCGAACAGGAUUAGAUACCCGAGUAGUC